GUGAAUAAAAUGUAUCUCUAUACCCAAAACCACAUAAAGCAAUAGCAGGUACUACCCAAAAAUCCAGUGAACAAGGUAUAAAGAUAGUCAAACUAGGGUAACCUAUUGGGUCCCAUCAAAAUUAACCUAUGCAGAUCAUUAUGAUUAAUUAGAACAUGACUGGGUAAAAAGAAGUGAUCAAGGGCACAACUUGCCUGGGACUUGAGAUUCCAGGUACCAACUUGCUCUUCAGGUGACUCGUAACCUCACGCUAGUCGUCGCAAUACAAACAUACAUGGUAUAGACAAAAUUAACAUCACACCAAACAUAAGAACAAACUGCAUAAUAUUAAUCUACGCGUCGCUACGAGAUCGUGGGAACAAGAAUCGCUAAAUUCGGAGUUACAGUUAAGAAGUUAUGGUUUUAUAAAGAUUUAAGUGUUGGACACAAAAGAAAUUAAGUGCAUAAAUUAUACCCAUGUUUCAUAAUAAAAUAAGGUUACCAGAUGAUAAACAAUAUUAUUAUGAAUUUAUAGCAACUGCAAUAAAUUAAUUCAGAGCUAAGAUGAAUUAAAUAUGAAUUAAAUAAGAUUCUAGGUUUAUUUUUAUGCUAAAAAUCCUUUUUCUAAAUAAAUUCUAAAUUCCUCAUGACCGCUGGACUGGGGACACUAUUCUCCAGAAGCCCGAGGCUUAAUUUGCAAAUAACAGGGCCCUAGUCGAAAUACUUAUACACUGUCGUGGAUUGUGGGUUGAUUUGUGAAUAUUUCAGGGCCUCAUAUGCAAAACGCCUAGGCCGAAAAGGUACGGGCAACGCUGGCCGCGCGAUCAAGGCUGAACGCGUGAGAUUAGAUCUAGCCUAUUCCGAACCGGUACGCAAUCCGGACUGUCCGAUCCCGAUCGGACGGUCAUGAUUUUAAAACGGCGCCAAAGCAUAACCCGUGCAGGAUUAGAAUCGGAUGACCGUGAUCAAUCCCACCGAAGCGGUAUCCCUAGGGGCAUGUCCGAGCCGUUAUACUAAAAUCCGACGGCGCAGCGCUCGUCCUCCACCCCGCAUCCCCCAACACCGAACAGGAACGGCGCCAGAGUAACCCCGCGGUGGAGCUUCGCCGCCGGUGAAAUUCGUUCUCCGCACAAGUGAUCAAAACGCACUGGGAGGAGUGCCAAAACACGAUUCAGGGUCUAACGCACUCGAAUACAGCCUACUUACCAGGGAUUACGGCGACGCGACUUCGGUCCCCGACAAGGAACACCCCGCGGCGGCCAAAUCUUCUCCUCUCUUCUUCUCUUCGACGGUGGUGUUCCUACGCACAGGAGCUGGGUAUGACUACGGUCACAAGCGACCAGAGAUUUAUAGAGGAGGGAGGCCAGGGGCACAAGCCGAGUCCGCGCGUAUGAGAAACACGGACGGGAUCGGAUCUUGCCGCGCGCAGAGUUCGGCGGAUUUCUGUUUCCGCCCGACGAAUUUUCAGGCGGC
rnacentral:lncRNA from 1 species